UUAAGUAGUAACGCCAGUGUAA
rnacentral:miRNA from 1 species